rnacentral:rRNA from 1 species
AAGACCAAAGAGGGGGACCUUCGGGCCUCUUGCCAUCAGAUGUGCCCAGAUGGGAUUAGCUUGUUGGUGAGGUAACGGCUCACCAAGGCGACGAUCCCUAGCUGGUCUGAGAGGAUGACCAGCCACACUGGAACUGAGACACGGUCCAGACUCCUACGGGAGGCAGCAGUGGGGAAUAUUGCACAAUGGGCGCAAGCCUGAUGCAGCCAUGCCGCGUGUAUGAAGAAGGCCUUCGGGUUGUAAAGUACUUUCAGCGGGGAGGAAGGUGUUGUGGUUAAUAACCACAGCAAUUGACGUUACCCGCAGAAGAAGCACCGGCUAACUCCGUGCCAGCAGCCGCGGUAAUACGGAGGGUGCAAGCGUUAAUCGGAAUUACUGGGCGUAAAGCGCACGCAGGCGGUCUGUCAAGUCGGAUGUGAAAUCCCCGGGCUCAACCUGGGAACUGCAUUCGAAACUGGCAGGCUUGAGUCUUGUAGAGGGGGGUAGAAUUCCAGGUGUAGCGGUGAAAUGCGUAGAGAUCUGGAGGAAUACCG